CAGGUUUCACGCUUGGAAGGGGGGAUCGGUGAGGAAGAAGCACCCCGCAGGGCAGGUUUCACGCUUGGAAGGGGGGAUCGGUGAGGAAGAAGCACCCCGCAGGACACGGUUCCCGCUUGGAAGGGGGGGUGGGGGACGGACAGAGCACACCGCAGGGCAGGUUUCACGCUUGGAAGGGGGGGUGGGGGACGGACAGAGCACACCGCAGGGCAGGUUUCACGCUUGGAAGGGGGGAUCGGUGAGGAAGAAGCACCCCGCAGGGCAGGUUUCACGCUUGGAAGGGGGGGUGGGGGACGGACAGAGCACACCGCAGGGCAGGUUUCACGCUUGGAAGGGGGGAUCGGUGAGGAAGAAGCACCCCGCAGGACACGGUUCCCGCUUGGAAGGGGGGGUGGGGGACGGACAGAGCACACCGCAGGGCAGGUUUCACGCUUGGAAGGGGGGGUGGGGGACGGACAGAGCACACCGCAGGGCAGGUUUCACGCUUGGAAGGGGGGAUCGGUGAGGAAGAAGCACCCCGCAGGACACGGUUCCCGCUUGGAAGGGGGGGUGGGGGACGGACAGAGCACACCGCAGGGCAGGUUUCACGCUUGGAAGGGGGGGUGGGGGACGGACAGAGCACACCGCAGGGCAGGUUUCACGCUUGGAAGGGGGGGUGGGGGACGGACAGAGCACACCGCAGGGCAGGUUUCACGCUUGGAAGGGGGGGUGGGGGACGG